rnacentral:rRNA from 1 species
UGCCAGCCGCCGCGGUAAUACGGAGGGAGCUAGCGUUGUUCGGAAUUACUGGGCGUAAAGCGUGCGUAGGCGGAUCGACAAGUUGGGGGUGAAAUCCCGGGGCUUAACCCCGGAACUGCCCUCAAAACUGUCGAUCUAGAGACCGGGAGAGGUAAGCGGAAUUCCUAGUGUAGAGGUGAAAUUCGUAGAUAUCAGGAGGAACACCGAUGGCGAAGGCAGCUUUCUGGACAGAUACUGACGCUGAGGUGCGAAAGCGUGGGGAGCAAACAGGAUUAGAUA